UUCUCAUCUCCCUCCACUGAUCUUCACUGAUUUCUCUCUUUGUGCUUGAUUUCUUUGGCUGAAUUUCAACUAACCCAAUCAAAAUGUGAAUGAUGUCAACUUUGUACGCUUUUUUUUAUAACAGUAGUCUCCCUAGAUACGUUUGAAGUUUGGCAAAAGUGAACAAGGUCAAUCAGUCUGCAUUGGCCACGCCUCUAAACAUAUUCCUCAGAGCAAGAGGAAUGUUUAAGAUGUUUUAUUGCUAGCAAAGAUGUUAUGGACCUACUCACAACCGGGUUGUUUACACGCACGCAAUUUCUGGUAAGCUUCACAGAGUGGACGCAUUUGUAACCCACGUGACCGCCACGCCCCAACCACCUUCCCUUUAAGCCGUCCCUUUAACAGCUGGGACCCUCAUGUGUAUUUCCGGGUUUUCCACUGUGCUGCUGCUCACUGUUGGUUGUGGCGUCGGUUGUUAAUAAAACAAUCUCAAACCUCCAACUCGACUCAUCGCUGAAUAAAUUCAUCCCUAAAACUCGAGGAUCUGCGGUGAGUUAAGUACCAUCUGAACUUGACGUUGUAUCAGCAAUACUAGCGCCGCUAAUAUAUCCGCUGUAAUACUCACCAGGUUGGGCUUUGUUGAUGCCUGAUUUACCUUCUGAUGAGAACAAGUAACAUCCACUUCCUCAGACAAUCCGUUACUCGACGGUCAGGUUUUUUUUUCUCCCCCUUCGACGGAGGAUGGCGAGCUACCCACACACCACCUGGUGGUAGGAAAAAGAGACACUUUCCACACAGGAAAACCAAACGACACUUUCCACACAGGAAAACCAAACGACACUUUCCACACAGGAAACAAAAUAAACUCUAAGGGAGUAUCUAAAGGAAAAGAACAAUUCUCCCGUUGCUCUUGGACUUUUGAACUACAUUUAGUUUUGAAGUAUUAUUUCUUUGUUGGGUUGGGUUUUUUUUCCCGUCCUUGUUUCUUUUGAACAAAUUAUUUUUGUUUAGUUUGUUU